UACAGAGGGUGCGAACGUUGCUCGGAAUUACUGGGCGUAAAGCGCGUGUAGGCGGAUCUCUAAGUCGGGCGUGAAAGCCCCAGGCUCAACCUGGGAACUGCGCUCGAAACUGGGGGUCUUGAGUAUCGGAGAGGGUGGCGGAAUUCCUGGUGUAGAGGUGAAAUUCGUAGAUAUCAGGAGGAACACCGGUGGCGAAGGCGGCCACCUGGACGAUUACUGACGCUGAGACGCGAAAGCGUGGGGAGCAAACAGG
rnacentral:rRNA from 1 species